rnacentral:rRNA from 1 species
CCUACGGGUGGCAGCAGUGGGGAAUAUUGCACAAUGGGGGAAACCCUGAUGCAGCGACGCCGCGUGAGUGAAGAAGUAAUUCGUUAUGUAAAGCUCUAUCAGCAGGGAAGAAAAUGACGGUACCUGAGUAAGAAGCCCCGGCUAACUACGUCCCAGCAGCCGCGGUAAUACGUAGGGGGCAAGCGUUAGCCGGAUUGACUGGGUGUAAAGGGAGCGUAGGCGGCAGUGCAAGUCUGGAGUGAAAGGCGGGGGCUCAACCCCCGGACUGCACUGGAAACUGUACGGCUGGAGUGCAGGAGGGGUAAGUGGAAUUCCGGGUGUAGCGGUGAAAUGCGUAGAUAUUAGGAGGAA